GGAAUUGGACGGGGCCCGCACAAGGCGGAGGACAUGUGGUUUAAUUCGAUGAUACGCGAGGAACCUUACCUGGGCUUAAAUGUAGAGUGCAUUUUCUAGAGAUAGGAAUUCCCUUCGGGGCUUUCUACAAGGGUGCUGCAUGGUUGUCGUCAGCUCGUGCCGUGAGGUGUCGGGUUAAGUCCCAUAACGAGCGCAACCCUUAUCGUUAGUUGCCAUCUGGUAAAGCAGGGGACUCUAGCGAAACUGCCACCGUAAGGUGAGAGGAAGGUGGGGAUGACGUCAAAUCAGCACGGCCCUUAUGUCCAGGGCUACACACGUGUUACAAUGGCCGGUACAGAGGGCAGCUACCUGGAGACAGGAUGCGAAUCUCGAAAGCCGGUCUCAGUUCGGAUCGGAGUCUGCAACCCGACUCCGUGAAGCUGGAUUCGCUAGUAAUCGCGCAUCAGCCAUGGCGCGGUGAAUACGUUCCCGGGCCUU
rnacentral:rRNA from 1 species